GAUUAACGCUGGCGGCAUGCCUAAUACAUGCAAGUCAAACGGGAUUAUAGCUUGCUAUAAUCUAGUGGCGAACGGGUGAGUAACACGUGGGCAACCUGUCCUAAAGACGAGGAUAACAGUUGGAAACGACUGCUAAUACUGGAUAGUAUAUUUAGUCGCAUGGCUUUAUAUUUAAAGAUGCGUUUGCAUCACUUUAGGAGGGGCCCGCGGCGCAUUAGCUAGUUGGUGAGGUAACGGCUCACCAAGGCGACGAUGCGUAGCUGCGCUGAGAGGCGAAACAGCCACAUUGGGACUGAGACACGGCCCAAACUCCUACGGGAGGCAGCAGUAGGGAAUUUUCGGCAAUGGGGGAAACCCUGACCGAGCAAUGCCGCGUGAAUGAUGAAGGUCUUCGGAUUGAAAAGUUCUGUUGUUAAGGAAGAACUGCACAAAUAGGAAAUGAUUUGUGUUUGACGGUACUUAACUAGAAAGCCCCGGCUAACUAUGUGCCAGCCGCCGCGGUAAUAC
rnacentral:rRNA from 1 species